AUACUUACCUGGCAGGAGCACCAUGAUCAGGAAGGUGGUUUCACCCAGGGCGAGGCUCUGCCAUUGCACUGAGCAGUACUGACCCUUGCGAAUUCCCCAAAUGUGGGAAUCGACUGCAUAAUUUCUGUUAGUGGGGGACUGCGUACGCUCUCUCCCCAU
rnacentral:snRNA from 1 species